UACAGAGGUCUCAAGCGUUGUUCGGAUUCAUUGGGCGUAAAGGGUGUGUAGGUGGCGCCGUAAGUCGGGUGUGAAAUUUCGGAGCUUAACUCCGAAACUGCAUUCGAUACUGCGGUGCUUGAGGACUGGAGAGGAGACUGGAAUUCAUGGUGUAGCAGUGAAAUGCGUAGAGAUCAUGAGGAAGACCAGUGGCGAAGGCGGCUCACUGGACCAUAACUGACGCUGAGGCGCGAAAGCUAGGGGAGCAAACAGG
rnacentral:rRNA from 1 species